GACGAACGCUGGCGGCGUGCCUAACACAUGCAAGUCGAGCGAGUGAAUCUCCUUCGGGAGUGAAGCUAGCGGCGGACGGGUGAGUAACACGUGGGCAACCUGCCUCAUAGAGGGGAAUAGCCUUUCGAAAGGAAGAUUAAUACCGCAUAAGAUUGUAGCUUCGCAUGAAGUAGCAAUUAAAGGAGCAAUCCGCUAUGAGAUGGGCCCGCGGCGCAUUAGCUAGUUGGUGAGGUAACGGCUCACCAAGGCGACGAUGCGUAGCCGACCUGAGAGGGUGAUCGGCCACAUUGGGACUGAGACACGGCCCAGACUCCUACGGGAGGCAGCAGUGGGGAAUAUUGCACAAUGGGGGAAACCCUGAUGCAGCAACGCCGCGUGAGUGAUGACGGCCUUCGGGUUGUAAAGCUCUGUCUUCAGGGACGAUAAUGACGGUACCUGAGGAGGAAGCCACGGCUAACUACGUGCCAGCAGCCGCCGCAGUAA
rnacentral:rRNA from 1 species